GGAUUCAUUAACUUCAACAUCUUUAGAAAAUUGCUCCACCUUCAUCUUUAAUCAACAUUAACUAAAUUGACCAAACGAACAAUAGUGUAUAUAUAUGUACGGAAGAAGUGUAUAAGCAGAGGUAGAUGAGAAAUUCCGACAAGUUUUCGGUAGAUCCCAUGGUACUUGCACAAUCUCUCCUUCAUUCUUUAGAUAGAUACAAAUACAAUUGUGGAUGUAUUAAUAUUAUACAAUUGUCCAACCAUCUCAAGAGAUUCAAUAUGCAUUACACGCUU
rnacentral:lncRNA from 1 species